UUCAAAAGAAAGCACAGGGGCCAUGUAGAGUUUUGUCAAAGGUGGAAGGCUCUGCAUGGAGCAAUUGUUGUGGCAGUAGCUUGUGGAGCUAUAUGAAAGUGAGGCAAAAGCCAAUGAGAAUACUCCAGCAAAGUCCAGCUACAUGCAACGUCCUCCAUGGAAGGCUGAAGGCAGACUACGAAACCAACCCAAGAAAGCAGACAUGGGUUUACAUGUAGGGAGUUUGCCUUCAAUCUCAGAUGGGACUUUGGACUUGGACUUUUCAGCAAUGCUAGAAUGAGAUCCCCUGGAGUUUUCCCCAGCAGAGUUGGUUACAAAAUCCUGAAUGUGGAACUUCCCACUCUGAUCCCUCGAUUACUCUGUGAUUUAUCCUCUGAACCUACCUAUAUCACCAUCCACCAUAAGCCCCUUGCCAGAGCCAAAACCUGCACCACGCCAUUUGGAUUUUGAACCUGCAAAACCCUGUUAAAUAAACCUCUC